rnacentral:rRNA from 1 species
UACGUAGGGUGCAAGCGUUAAUCGGAAUUACUGGGCGUAAAGCGUGCGCAGGCGGCUUUGCAAGACAGAUGUGAAAUCCCCGGGCUUAACCUGGGAACUGCAUUUGUGAUGCAUGGCUGGAGUGCGGCAGAGGGGGAUGGAAUUCCGCGUGUAGCAGUGAAAUGCGUAGAUAUGCGGAGGAACACCGAUGGCGAAGGCAGCCCCCUGGGUCAAGAUUGACGCUCAUGCACGAAAGCGUGGGGAGCAAACAGG